GUGUGUGGAUGGUGUUCAGCACCAAGGGCAGGUGUGUUUUGUUGUGUGUGAAUGGUGUUCAGCACCAAUGACAGGUGUGUUUACUU
rnacentral:pre_miRNA from 1 species